rnacentral:rRNA from 1 species
GGUCAAGCUAGAAAGGGCGCAGGGCGAAUGCCUUGGCACUGGGAGCCGAAGAAAGACGUGAUAAGCUGCGAUAAGCCUCGGGGAGGAGCAAAUAUCCAUUGAUCCGGGGAUUUCUGAAUGGGGAAACCCGCAUGGGGUCAUGCCCAUGCAACAUACACUGAAUCCAUAGGUGUAUGUGGGGAACCGCCUGAACUGAAACAUCUAAGUAGGGCGAGGAAGAGAAAUCAACCGAGAUUCCGUAAGUAGUGGCGAGCGAACGCGGAAGAGGCCAAACCGGCGGGAGAAAUCCCACCGGGGUUCGGACCGCAUUUAGGAUCUGCAAUUGUUAGCCGAAGUGUAUGGGAAGGCACACCGAAGAAGGUGAGAGUCCUGUAGGCGAAAACGAGAGCAGCCGAGCGGUAUCCAGAGUACGGCCGGACACGUGAAACCCGGUCGGAACAUGGGGGGACCACCCUCCAAGCCUAAAUACUACCCAGUGACCGAUAGCGUAUAGUACCGUGAGGGAAAGGUGAAAAGGACCCCGGGAGGGGAGUGAAAUAGAACCUGAAACCCUGUGCCUACAAGCACCUAGAGCGCGUCAAUGCGUGAUAGGGUACUUUUUGUAGAACGGUCCGGCGAGCGAAUGUAUGCAGCAAGGUUAAGCAAUUCAGUUGCGAAGCCGUAGCGAAAGCGAGUCUGAAUAGGGCGUGUGAAGUUGCAUGCAUUGAGCCCGAAACCGGGUGACCUAUCCAUGGUCAGGUUGAAGUGGAGGUAAGACUCCAUGGAGGACCGAACCGACCCCCGUUGAAAAGGUGGCGGAUGAACUGUGGAUAGCGGAGAAAUUCUAAUCGAACCCGGAGAUAGCUGGUUCUCCCCGAAAUAGUUUUAGGACUAGCCUUACGUUAGAUACCCGCAGGUAAAGCACUGAAUGGACGCGGGCCCGAGAGGGUACCAACUUCUAUCAAACUCUGAAUGGCGGUGUAUUGAUGCGUAGGAGUCACACAGUGUGAGAUAAGUCUCAUUGUGGAGAGGGAAACAGCCCAGACCCGCGACUAAGGUCCCAAAGUAUGGUUAAGUGGAAAAGGAUGUGGGGUUGCGCAGACAACCAGGAUGUUGGCUUAGAAGCAGCCAUUCAUUCAAAGAGUGCGUAAUAGCUCACUGGUCAAGUGACCCUGCGCCGAAAAUGUAACGGGGCUAAACCAUACACCGAAGUCCGGGCAUUGCCCAGUUCAACAAUGUUCAUCACCAGAAGAAAGGCAAAUUUGGCCGAAGAGCACUGCGAAGCAGUAGUUCUGAGGCGAAAUGGGCCAGCUAAAGCAUACGGUGGUGGCUGUUGUUGAGCUGGGUGAUGGGUAGGGGAGCGUUGUGUACGGGGUGAAGCUGUAGCGUGAGCGGCAGUGGACUGUACACAAGUGAGAAUGCCGGAAUGAGUAGCGAGAAUGCAGUGAGAAUCUGCAUGGCCGAAAACCUAAGGUUUUUAGAGGAAGGUUCGUCCGCUCUAAGUUAGCCGGGAGCUAAGGCGAGGCCGAAAGGCGUAGUCGAUGCACAUACGGUGGAGAUUCCGUAGCCAGCGAAAAACUUAAGCACAGGGACACUUUUGAAGGGAUGGUGCCGGCUGUUGGUUGCCGGUCGUAAGGGACUGAAAAUAUAGUAGGGAAGUCCAUCUUGGAGAGAGGCGAGAAAAGCUGUGUGUAUGUUUUAGCUGCCCGUACCGCAAACCGACACAGGUAGGUAGGAAGAGGAUUCUAAGGCCAACGGGAGAAGGGUUGUUAAGGAACUCGGCAAGUUGACCCCGUAACUUCGGAAGAAGGGGUGCUCCAGCGAUGGAGCCGCAGAGAAUAGGCCCAAGCAACUGUUUAUCAAAAACACAGGUCUGUGCUAAAUCGAAAGAUGACGUAUACGGGCUGACGCCUGCCCGGUGCCGGAAGGUUAAGAGGAGAUGUGAGAGCAUUGAAUUGAAGCCCCGGUAAACGGCGGCCGUAACUAUAACGGUCCUAAGGUAGCGAAAUUCCUUGUCAGGUAAGUUCUGACCCGCACGAAUGGCGUAAUGAUUUGGGCACUGUCUCAACAGCCCGCCCGGCGAAAUUGUAGUACCGGUGAAGAUGCCGGUUACCCGCGGCAAGACGGAAAGACCCCAUGGAGCUUUACUGCAGCCUAAUAUUGGGUUUCGGCAUUGCCUGUACAGGAUAGGUGGGAGGCUUUGAAGCAGGGGCGUCAGCUUCUGUGGAGCCAUCCUUGGGAUACCACCCUUGUGAUGUUGGAAUUCUAACCUGCGGCCGUGAAUCCGGCCGGGGGACAUUGUUAGGCGGGCAGUUUGACUGGGGCGGUCGCCUCCUAAAAUGUAGCGGAGGCGUUCAAAGGUUGGCUCAGCACGGACGGAAACCGUGCCAGAGAGUGCAAACGCAAAAGCCAACUUGACUGCGAGGCUGACGGGCCGAGCAGGUACGAAAGUAGGAGUUAGUGAUCCGGCGGUAUGUGCGUGGAAAUGCCGUCGCUCAACGGAUAAAAGUUACCCUGGGGAUAACAGGCUGAUCUCCCCCAAGAGUCCACAUCGACGGGGAGGUUUGGCACCUCGAUGUCGGCUCAUCGCAUCCUGGGGCUGAAUUCGGUCCCAAGGGUUUGGCUGUUCGCCAAUUAAAGCGGUACGCGAGCUGGGUUCAGAACGUCGUGAGACAGUUCGGUCCCUAUCUGCCGUGGGCGCAGGAUAUUUGAUGGAGGCUGUCCCUAGUACGAGAGGACCGGGAUGGACGCACCUCUGGUGCACCAGUUGUCACGCCAGUGGCACAGCUGGGCAGCUAUGUGCGGUGUGGAUAAACGCUGAAAGCAUCUAAGCGUGAAGCCCAUCCAAAGAUAAGAUAUCCCACUGGAUAGCCAGGUAAGGCCCCUUGUAGACUACAAGGUUGAUAGGCACCAUGUGUACGCACAGUGAUGUGUUUAGCAAGGGUGUACUAAUAGGCCGAGGGCUUGACCUA